rnacentral:rRNA from 1 species
UACGAAGGGGGCUAGCGUUGUUCGGAAUCACUGGGCGUAAAGCGCACGCAGGCGGGUCGUUAAGUCAGGGGUGAAAUCCCGAGGCUCAACCUCGGAACUGCCUUUGAUACUGGCGAUCUUUGAGUCCGGGAGAGGUGAGUGGAACUCCGAGUGUAGAGGUGAAAUUCGUAGAUAUUUCGGAAGAACACCAGUGGCGAAGGCGGCUCACUGGCCCGGUACUGACGCUCAUGUGCGAAAGCGUGGGGAGCAAACAGG